UGCAGCUCUUGAUGAACAGAAGUAAGAUGAACAGAACGAUGGCGAGGAUGAAGGCCAGGACAUCCAGGCUGUGAUACUGGUACCAGCACCUCCGGAAGCAGAAUGUGCAGGUCUUGAUGAAGAGAAGUAAGAUGAACAGAACGAUGGCGAGGAUGAAGGCCAGGACAUCCAGGCUGUGAUACUGAUACCAGCACAUGGAGAAGCAGAAUGUGCAGGUCUUGAUGAAGAGAAGUAAGAUGAACAGAAUAAUGAUGAGGAGAAGGGCCAAGACAUCCAGGCUGUGAUACUGGUACCAGGCCUCGGAGCUGUCGCAGCUGGAUCCAGGCGAAGGGACUUCAGUGUCACUGGUCAGGGCCCACGGGUGUGGAGGGGAGUGCAGCUGCUCCAUGUUUCCUC